rnacentral:rRNA from 1 species
UACAGAGGUCUCAAGCGUUGUUCGGAUUUAUUGGGCGUAAAGGGUGCGCAGGCGGUGUGGUAAGUUUGGUGUGAAAUCCUGGGGCUCAACCCCAGAAUUGCACUGAAUACUGCCAUGCUAGAGGACUGGAGAGGAGAUUGGAAUUCACGGUGUAGCAGUGAAAUGCGUAGAUAUCGUGAGGAAGGCCAGUGGCGAAGGCGAAUCUCUGGACAGUUCCUGACGCUCAUGCACGAAGGCCAGGGGAGCAAACGGG